CGGGAUUGAAAUGUAGAUGACCGCUCCUGAAAGGGAGUUUUCCUUCGGGACAUCUAUGUAGGUGCUGCAUGGUUGUCGUCAGCUCGUGCCGUGAGGUGUCGGCUUAAGUGCCAUAACGAGCGCAACCCCUGUCUACGGUUGCCAUCAGGUAAUGCUGGGAACUCCGUAGAGACUGCCGUCGUAAGGCGUGAGGAAGGUGGGGAUGACGUCAAAUCAGCACGGCCCUUACAUCCGGGGCGACACACGUGUUACAAUGGUAAGGACAAAGGGCAGCUACCUGGCGACAGGAUGCGAAUCUCUAAACCUUAUCACAGUUCGGAUCGGAGUCUGCAACUCGACUCCGUGAAGCUGGAUUCGCUAGUAAUCGCGCAUCAGCCAUGGCGCGGUGAAUACGUUCCCGGGCC
rnacentral:rRNA from 1 species